CAGCCGCCGCGGUAAUACGUAGGGCGCAAGCGUUAUCCGGAACUAUUGGGCGUAAAGAGCUCGUAGGCGGUUUGUCGCGUCUGCCGUGAAAGUCCGGGGCUCAACCCCGGAUCUGCGGUGGGUACGGGCAGACUAGAGUGAUGUAGGGGAGACUGGAAUUCCUGGUGUAGCGGUGAAAUGCGCAGAUAUCAGGAGGAACACCGAUGGCGAAGGCAGGUCUCUGGGCAUUAACUGACGCUGAGGAGCGAAAGCAUGGGGAGCAAACAGGAUUAGAGACCCCUGUAGUCCCUGUCUCUUAUAC
rnacentral:rRNA from 1 species